rnacentral:rRNA from 1 species
AGGGUUUGAUUCUGGCUCAGGAUGAACGCUGGCGGCGUGCUUAACACAUGCAAGUCGAGCGAAGCACUUAAGUGGAUCUCUUCGGAUUGAAACUUAUUUGACUGAGCGGCGGACGGGUGAGUAACGCGUGGGUAACCUGCCUCAUACAGGGGGAUAACAGUUAGAAAUGGCUGCUAAUACCGCAUAAGCGCACAGGACCGCAUGGUCUGGUGUGAAAAACUCCGGUGGUAUGAGAUGGACCCGCGUCUGAUUAGCUAGUUGGAGGGGUAACGGCCCACCAAGGCGACGAUCAGUAGCCGGCCUGAGAGGGUGAACGGCCACAUUGGGACUGAGACACGGCCCAG